rnacentral:rRNA from 1 species
AGUAACACGUGGGUAACCUGCCCCAAUGAUUGGGACAACCCGAGGAAACUCGGGCUAAUACCAAAUGUGCUCCUGGCCCAUCAGGGUCUUGAGGAAAGGUAGCUUCGGCUUCCGCAUUGGGAUGGGCCCGCGGCCCAUUAGCUUGUUGGUGGGGUAAUGGCCUACCAAGGCGACGAUGGGUAGCUGGUCUGAGAGGACGAUCAGCCACACUGGGACUGAGACACGGCCCAG